GUUGAACGCUGGCGGCAUGCUUUACACGUGCAAGUCGAACGGUAACAGGGAGCUUGCUCCGCUGUCGAGUGGCGAACGGGUGAGUAAUGCGUCGGAACGUGCCGAGUAGUGGGGGAUAACGCAUCGAAAGGUGUGCUAAUACCGCAUACGUACUGAGGUAGAAAGUGGGGGACCUUCGGGCCUCACGCUAUUCGAGCGGCCGACGUCUGAUUAGCUAGUUGGUGAGGUAAAGGCUCACCAAGGCGACGAUCAGUAGCGGGUCUGAGAGGAUGAUCCGCCACACUGGGACUGGGACACGGCCCAGACGCCUACGGGAGGCAGCAGUGGGGAAUUUUGGACAAUGGGCGCAAGCCUGAUCCAGCCAUGCCGCGUGUCUGAAGAAGGCCUUCGGGUUGUAAAGGACUUUUGUCCGGGAGCAAAUGCCUGGUGUUAAUAGCAUCGGGAGCUGAGAGUACCGGAAGAAUAAGCACCGGCUAACUACGUGCCAGCAGCCGCCGUAAAAC
rnacentral:rRNA from 1 species